GACGAACGCUGGCGGCGUGCCUAAUACAUGCAAGUUGAGCGAUGAAGAUUGGUGCUUGCACCAAUUUGAAGAGCAGCGAACGGGUGAGUAACGCGUGGGGAAUCUGCCUUUGAGCGGGGGACAACAUUUGGAAACGAAUGCUAAUACCGCAUAACAACUUUAAACAUAAGUUUUAAGUUUGAAAGAUGCAAUUGCAUCACUCAAAGAUGAUCCCGCGUUGUAUUAGCUAGUUGGUGAGGUAAAGGCUCACCAAGGCGAUGAUACAUAGCCGACCUGAGAGGGUGAUCGGCCACAUUGGGACUGAGACACGGCCCAAACUCCUACGGGAGGCAGCAGUAGGGAAUCUUCGGCAAUGGACGAAAGUCUGACCGAGCAACGCCGCGUGAGUGAAGAAGGGUUUCGGAUCGUAAAACUAUGUUGGUAGAGAAGAACGUUGGUGAGAGUGGAAAGCUCAUCAAGUGACGGUAACUACCCAGAAAGGGACGGCUAACUACGUG
rnacentral:rRNA from 1 species